AAUGAACGCUGGCGGCGUGCUUUACACAUGCAAGUCGAGCGAGGCGGGUAGCAAUACCCAGUCGAGCGGCGAACGGGUGAGUAACGCGUGGAUGACCUGCCCUGAGGUGGGGAAUAACCCGGGGAAACUCGGGCUAAUACCGCAUAUGACCGUGAGGUCAAAGAGGGGUCGCAAGAUCUCUUGCCACAGGAGGGGUCCGCGUUCGAUUAGCUAGUUGGUAGGGUAAUGGCCUACCAAGGCGACGAUCGAUAGCCGGCCUGAGAGGGUGAUCGGCCACACUGGAACUGAGACACGGUCCAGACUCCUACGGGAGGCAGCAGUGGGGAAUUUUGCGCAAUGGGCUAACGCCUGACGCAGCAACGCCGCGUGGAGGAUGAAGGUCCUUGGAUUGUAAACUCCUGUCAGCGGGGAAAAAGCGAUUCGACCUAAUACGUCGGAGAGUUGAUUGUACCCGCAGAGGAAGCCCCGGCUAACUCUGUGCCAGCCGCCGCUGUAAU
rnacentral:rRNA from 1 species